GGGGUCGUGGCCAAGCCCGGCAUGGCGACUGACUCCAGAGGCAACGCGCCCGGGACGAAACUCCAGACUGAUAUACUGAGCGACUGACUGAUCAUCGGUCGUGUUGACGACCCUCUGGAGUUCCGAGGCGCACACCGGAGAUAUCAGUCGAUCGGGGGUUCAAAUCCCUCCGACCCCA
rfam:Halogeometricum borinquense DSM 11551, complete genome.